rnacentral:lncRNA from 1 species
AAAAAAAGUGGUGGUGUAAAUCCAGUUUUGUUACUGUUCAUUGUAAAGUCUUAUUGCAGAGGGGAGGAAUGAUCUGCGGUAGCGCUCCGUCCUGCAGGGUGGGAGUCUCAGUCUGCUGCUGAAGGAGCUGCCUAAAGCCCCCACAGUCUGGUGCAGUGGGUGAGAGGGAUUGUCCAUGAUGGAUAUAAGCUUUGUUAACAUCCUCCUCUCACCCACCUCCUCCAGGGAGUCCAAAGAGCAGUCCAGGACAGAACCGGCCCUCCUGACCAGUCUAUAAUAUUUGUGCUCGAGCAAAUUUUUGGUAACAAAAAGGAGCAAAAAGGUGUCAAUGCUUAAGGCUGCCAUGAAAUUCAGCAUUUUUGAAUCAUUAAAAAAGGCUUCAGAAUCCAGGAGGGACAGGAAACAUAGGCGUGCACAGAGGUGUUCAAGGACAUGUAACUCAGGAGUCUUGUUGUAAAUGGGUAGAACUGUGUGUGUAUGAUGAAGAUAAGAGAGGCAAUUUUUGCUCGUCUGCUCUUUUGUGUUAAAAUAGAAAAAAGGGAGCUCAGUGUCUCUCCCCAUCCUCCAUCCUUAUCCCUCCUUGUUCCCCCUCCCUCUUCUGCACCAUCUGAACAAAGACAACUGCUCUUUGUUAGCUACAUGCUCUGUGUAGGAUUUGGAGUCAGAUUGUGUCUCUUUUUUUUUGCUGAUGCUGGCGGCAGAUAUAGUUAACCUGCUGUUUGUGUGAGUCUGAGAGCAGCAGAGAUGGAGGAGGAAAUAAUCCUGAAGAUAAUGUUAGGCCUUGUGUCCACCGGGUUUCUGUUUCGAGCACCAGCACCUUUUUCAGGCACCUUCAAUAGACACAGAGUGAAGAGCUGUGUCUGUAAAAACGCUAUAACCAGCACCUUUUCUUGUUCAAACCACUCCACCUUUUUGUUUUGCUGCUCUGGGUGCUUCAGAGUGAAAACAACUCAGAUUUUCAAAAGACAGCGCUGCAAUUUUUUCGUGUCGGGAGGAUGAGAUGUUGUCAAAGAGACCUACACAGACACGCACUUUUCUUUUUCCCUCACCCUACUAAACACUUUACUUAUGGCCUGCCAGUGCUUUUCUAUUUUAAAUAAUCCCAGCGAGCAUAAGGCUUUAGGUUAAUGACAGGGUGGGUUGACAGGCAAGGUGAAUAAAUAUAUAUUUUGUGAUAAAUACUGGAGGAAAGAGGAUUUGCAUUCGGCGGAGAGAGGAAAAGAGUGAUGGAAUUUUCAUCUUUCUGCCCCACCCUUUUUUCCCCAUAUAAGGCAGUGCCAAUUUGCUGGGGGCUGCUGACGUGGUUUACCAGUCUGUUCUCUGAGGGUAUUUAGGUUAGGGUGUAGAAGGGGGUUGGGUGGCCUCCUUUACUAGUCUAGACUACACAGUUUUUCUUUGGAAAUGUUCUUUGUCUGUGUUUUCCAAUUCUACACCUCAUCUCAAGGGUGCUGACUGCCUUUCUCUGAUGGUUUGCAUUACACCAUGCUAUCGUGUUGAAAGAAAAAAAAAACCUGCUUGGUGAUGAAUUAUUUCUUGAAUAUUAUGAUAUUGAAUUCAUAAUUUAGCUGCAAUGUGCUAAAGCAGAUGCCAGUGGGUUCGGUUGUGUAUAUGCACCGCAUGAGCGUUACAAUGUAAGACCGGGUAAAUCACAGCGACUGUUAAGGUCACUUGGUGAAUGAGACAAUUUAGCUCCAUUACCUGGAUGGCUGAUAUCAAUAGAUGAGGAGUUAGAGAGCAUGAAGAGAGUGGGCAGCUAUUAGCCCCUAUAAAUCAUACAGAUUUUAGAGGAAGAGAGCGCCCAAAGAGAGGAGGUAGCAGGUGGGAGUGAAGGUUGUGAAGGGUGGAAUAACUACUGCGAAUCUAGCUGAAGGAGUAUUUUUGAGUCCAACCGAAUGGCUGGUUUUCUCACAUAUAAAGUGGUCUUUUAUUGGAGACACAAGACAGGCAGUUAGAUCAAUAUUAGGCUGCCCUUGGCCCCCCUUGACUCCCAUCAAACAUAAUGAAGCACAAUCACCUGCAGUUUUCAGCUGUUGCAGCAGGUUUCAGCAAAAAGAAGACAUACGGCGUCACAAAGAAACAAGAAAUGAAUGGACUGUGUUUAUGUAGCGCUUUCUCUGGUCUGCGGAGCUCUCAAAUGGCUUUUACUUUACAUGUCACAGUCACACAAUGAUGGCAGAGGAUACUGUGUGAGGCAUCGGUAUUACCUAAUCCCAUUCACAGCCAGUGGGGCAGUUUGGGGUCAAGUGUUUUGCCAAAAGACACUUUUGUAUGUAGACAGUGGGACUUGGGAUUGAACCCCGCACAUUCCCAUUGUGAGAUGACCGGCUCACUGAGCAGCUGCCCCAAAGAGACUGAAUUUUCUUUUGUGUCAUUUUGGUAAAUAUAUGUAGAAACACAUACAGGUGAUCCCUGUGCAGCCCCCCUAAGCACCCCAACAGCUGCAGGAUUCCUUGAAGUGGUUAUCUUCAAUACCCACUCCGAUGAAAAUCAUGUUUUUCUCGUUUUUUACAUUUUCAUAUGGCAUUUUUCUGAUGCUACAGGGCAUAUCAUGAGAAAACUAAAGGCGAAUUGCUGUGAAUCUCUGGCAGACCCAAACGACAGGCUCAGACACAGUGAGAUUUCAUACGUAACCAAUCCAAGCUCCACCCCCGGAGCCACACUCUGCAUACAGAGGAGAAAUGCAGAGAACGAUCGCGGGACAAGAGUGUGCGUUAGCGGAUUGCAAUGCUCAUAAGAAAGCUAAUGAUGAUAUAAGCGUUCAUUGUGUCCCUAAAGACAUUCGUGUCCGAGACUUGAAUAGCACCUAUGUUACCUGCCACUUCUACUACACCAGCAAUGUAAGGCUGCAAGCUAACUCAAGGCGAAGUGUGCAGAGCAGCGCUGUCUCCGCCCACAACUCAGAGGUGAAUUGUUAAUGAUCUACUGGAGCUCUGCAGGAGAAAAAUCCUUGAAAAUGACACAAGUAACACAAUUUUCGGUAAAAACUUUGUAAUCACAAUUUAAAGACCACUUAGAUCACUUUAAGAAGUAAAAGAAAAUGAUCGAAGUGGAACUUUAAAUAAAGCUUGUCCAGAUCAAAUCAAUUAAAUUUACUAUCCUCACUCUCUUUUUUAAGUUACUUUUUGGAGCAUUUUUGCCCUUAUCGGGUGGAACAGCUGUUAGCAGACCGGAUGUGGGCAGCGGAAACAAAAGAGAUGUGCAGCAAAUAGUCAAGACCUCUGAGACAAGGACCGUAGCAUCUAUGGUCCUCUCAUCUCUGAGACAACGGCACCCUCAUACCUUGGUUUUUAUUUGAGACUUUACUUUUUGCUUUCUUCCUGACUUCUUAUAAAGGUAAACACCUGUCCACAUGUAGCCAUUAUCUAUUUGGUGGGGGUUUUUUUUGUCCUCCUAGGUCUUUAACUGUGUUGUCAAUCACUGACUAGAUUGCCGUUGUGUAUUUUCCCGCCACAGUCUUUGUUGUGACACUCAAAACUCACGUCAGCUCCAGUGGAACUGAUUCUCUAUGUCAAUGCUGUCACAAGAAGUUUAUGCAUUGUCAGUUAUCGUCUCACACCAGUGAUUGUGUGAUUCAAAUGAUUCAUAAUUCACAGAUGUAACGGUGCUUGUGUGCUUGCAAACACUGGCACAAAUAACAAAUACAGUACAAUAACAAAGUUGUUUAUAUUGCUCAGGAGUAUGUCAAACUGUCAAGUUUUUGUCACGACAAACCAGCAGGUAACCUACGACUCAGAAAAAAUGUGGAGGUGUAAA